GGGCCAUAGCUCAGAAGUAGAGCAUCUGUUUUGAAUGCAGAAGGUCCUACGUUCAGUCCCUAGCAUCUUCA